UAUCUCUGUAGAGUCUGCAUAUCAAUAAGCGGAGGAAAAGAAACUAAUAAGGAUUCCCCUAGUAACGGCGAGUGAAGCGGGAAGAGCUCAAAUUUGAAAUCUUCAAGGUUUGACCUUGACGAAUUGUAGUUUAAAGAAGUGUUUACGGUUAGAGGAGUAGUAAAAGUUCUUUGGAAUAGGACAUCAUAGAGGGUGAGAAUCCCGUAUUUGACUAUUCUUUCCUAGCUUUGUGAUACACUUUCAAAGAGUCGGAUUGUUUGGGAAUGCAGUCCAAAAUGGGUGGUAAAUUUCAUCUAAAGCUAAAUAUUGGCGAGAGACCGAUAGCGAACAAGUACCGUGAGGGAAAGAUGAAAAGAACUUUGAAAAGAGAGUUAAACAGUACGUGAAAUUGUCAAAAGGGAAGCGUUUGACACCAGUGUUGUUUUUCCGAAAAUCAAUUAAAAAUUGAUUCAUGCCAGGUUGUAUUGACCUUAUCAGCUUGCAAUUUGGUUUUGGGUCUCUUUUUGAUGCACUUUUCGGUUAACAAGUCAACAUCAAUUUCCUUUGCUGUAAAAAGGUAAGAGGAGGGUGGCUUCAAUUUCGGUUGAAGUGUUUAUAGCCUUUUAUCUCUGCAGUCGGGGAGAUUGAGGUCUGCAGCGUAGAUCCUUCGGGGCUAGAUACAUUUAUGCUAAGUUAUAGCUUUUCAUAGACAACUUGUUGACUAUGUUUAGUCAUGUAGCUUACUCGUAAGUGCUAUUUUACCUACGCUUAGGAUGUUGAAGACUCUACAGAGAUA
rnacentral:rRNA from 1 species